GUGGUGUGACAGUACAUAGUGUACUAUGCAGUUUUUGGCGACAACAAUUAAAUACCAUGCUGGGAAAAUUCAACGUUACAAUUCACUCAUCCCGCACCUUGCAAGAUUUCAACGACGGCACUGUAAACGUCCACGAGGCACUGAAGGCCUGCAACAGCCUACGAAACUCAUUUCUAAUUAUGUUUUCUGCAUGAACGACAUUGCAUUUUCUCAUUGCGACUCAUGCAUAUCUGAAGCAUGUUUCUACACGUCGCAGAGGUGAAGUCAUCAACGGAGGGUUCGGCUGUGUCCUCGAUGGAACCAAGGAGGCGGACGAACGCGCGAUGAUGCUUCUCUUCUGGGACGUGAACAAUGGGUUGAGUGAAAAAAGUUGGUCUGGCAACAAGUAUGCUUACGAGACCAGUGGAGCGGGCUAUGAAGGAUCACCCGGCCCUGCAGGUGACGCUGCCACACGAAGCGGACGACCAGCUGGUCAAGAGAUUAGUUGCGAGAGAGAAAAACACGGCAAUGGGAGGAGGAGUCGGCUUAAAAGGAAACACUGUCAUUGAGCAAUGUGUUCGAUCAUGUGUCUAGCACUGCAGUAUAUGCAUUGAUUAUUGCACUUUCUUAGAUAUGGUGGUAUGAGGUUCCUGGGCACUGACCAAGAUUCUCUGGUCUUUAAAACAAUAAACUUUAGGUAAGCUGUUUGAUACGCAGUUUUACAAGCCUGACCAUCAUCACUUGCAAGGGCCAACAGUGUGCAGCAUCAUGCAAAUGCCAGGACUAAUUGAUGAAUUUGGUUCGACGUUGUCAAGCAACACUGGUCGACAGAGAUUUUGCGAGGAAUGACUCGGAGUUAACUAUGCCCACCUGG